rnacentral:misc_RNA from 1 species
AUUGUUAUUGUUAUUAUUAUUAUUAUUAGGGAGGUUGAGGUCGUAUGAUGUUUUGUGGUGUAUUAAAAGAUCGAGUUCAGAAUUGGCUUCGCGAUUAUGAUAGGCUUCAAUACUUGGCUGUUAUCCUCAUUUAUAUUCAGAUUGGGUGCGCUUUGAUUGGUUCUCUUGGGGCAUUGUACAACGGUGUGUUGCUGAUCAAUUUGGGAAUCGCAUUGUUCGCUCUGGUCGCUAUCGAGAGUAGCAGUCAGAGUUUGGGUCGGACCUACGCCGUUCUUCUCUUUUGUUCUAUUUUGCUUGAUAUUUCUUGGUUCAUUCUCUUCACUCAUGAUAUUUGGAGCAUUUCUUCAGAGAAAUAUGGAAUGUUCUUUAUCUUUUCGGUGAAACUCACUUUAGCAAUGCAAAUUGUUGGGUUUUCUGUGAGGCUGUCAUCCUCAUUGUUGUGGAUUCAGAUUUACAGAUUGGGGGUUUCUUAUGUAGAAAGUACUGGUCCUCGAGAAGCUGAUUUUGAUUUAAGAAGUAGCUUCCUGAGCCCAGUAACUCCUGCUGUAGCAAGAGAAUGCUCUGAUUCUGAUGUUGCUUUAGGAGGCUCCAUUUAUGAUCCAGCUUAUUACUCAUCCCUAUUUGAAGAUGGUCGGAACAAUAGAUAUAUACAUGGGGUACAUUAUAGUUAUAACCCUUGCCCAUUUAACAUGCCCUGGAUGCUUUUCCAAGUUUGCUUUCAACUUUUAGGUUAUGAAUUUUGUUGCGCUCUUAGUUUUGUGUAGAUACUUCUAAUUCUAUUGAAAAAUAUGCUAUUAACUUGCCAAAGAAAAACAUCUUAUAUUCUGUGUCUGGUUUGAGGGAAGGGCUGAAGGAAAGCAAUGCUGGGAGGAAUAAGAUAGGAAGGAAGAAGCAACUUUUCUAACAUUUUUUUGGAUGAAAAUGGACUGAAGGAAGGAAGAAGUUGGCACUUCCCUCCUUUUUGGGACCAGAACUGAUUUGUUCAAAUUGGAUUAGCAGAGAUUGGGAUGAAACAAUGGGGUUGCAAGGGAAUGUAAACCUGUAUUUCCAACAAAUUUAGACUACAAAUUGAAUGGCCUUUUGGUAAAAUGAAGAAAAGCAACCUUCACUCUCCAUGCCAUCAAAAGCAACCCUUUCUUCACUCUCCAUUUUAUCCAAAUGUGAGGAACAAAGCUCACUUCUUUCCUUAAAAUGAAUUAAACAGAUUGUUACCUCUCUCAUGUGCCCACAAUAGCAAAAUUGAACUGUUAACUCAAGUUGUGGAUUCCUUUAAUAUCAACAUGUGUGUGUGUGUUUUGAUUACUUGGCCUAGUACAGUUGUAAAUGAUAGAGAAAACAUUGAUGGAAGGUGAAUAUGAGCAUAUUUCAAUAUUUUGACAGUGAUUGAAAUAUAAAAUGCAUGUGCAAUUUUUUGUUUGCAGAUAUCUGCACCAUAGAUCAUACCCAGGCAUUUGUAUAGUUAUUGAAGUUCAGUGCUUUCCCAUGCUUUUGGUUGGAAUUCAUCUGAUCUGGAUUCUUGUAUUGGAGGGUUCAGCAAUUUAACAUGGGAUUGUAUGAUACUGUUGUACGCUUGCAGGAUCAAACUUCCAGUAUUCUUGACAAUGGAUCUUCUUCUAGUGCUGAAGUUUCUCAUUUGAAGGUGUCCAUAGGCAGAUCUUUCCAGACUAUAGAUGAGAAUGCUGUAGGCGAGCCUCAGACUGCCUGAAUUAGAUUCUGGUAUUUCUGAGAUAACAGGCUGCGAAGUCACUCCCCAUAGUGUUACUGUUUUGAGGUUGAUUUAUUUCAUGAGUUCAGUUGAAUACAGGAAUGGUACUGGUACAGUUCUUUUAUUCUUGCAACUUCCUAUUGCUGCCAAUCUCGGAGUUAAAAGAACUGCAUGUUCAGUUCACUGCAAGAGUCUGUCAAAGCUCUGGAUUUGAUGCAGUAUCACAAGUAUUAAACCUACCUGCCAUGCAGACAGACUGAUUCAUUUUGGCAUGCGGUGCACCCUAAUUGGCCAGGCUAUCUCUAGGUGCAACUGGUAAUGACAUUCUUGUUUGGAAGAGCUCCUGAAAUUGAUAUCCCUUUUAGAAUUACAAACUUAAAGGUCAAUUUUCCUCGAUGUGUUUAUUCUUUUUCUUUCUUUUUAUUUUUUUCAAGCCUGGUAUUUAAUUAAAUUGAAUGAAAAUAGUUUGCAUUACCUGGAGGUUCAUCAAUUUGAAGUAUGG